AAUGCAGGUCGUGCAGUCGCCCCCUUCUAUGAAGGGGGAGGAAAGUCCGAGCUCCGCAGGACACCGUAGCGGGUAACGCCCGCCCCUUGCACUGGUGUAAAUCCUGCUGCAAGGAGGAAUAGCGCCACAGAAAGGAUGUACAGGGCGAUGAUCCUGAAGUGUCGCGCUUCAGGGGACAGAUGUUGCAAUACUGAUAACAUCUGCCGUCUCAUUUCUAAAAAGGUAUGGGACGGGCCGCUGUAGUGAAAUCAGGCAAGCUCUACGGGGAGCAAGGCCAAGUAGGUUAUCCGAGAAGGGUGUGUCCGCCCGAGAUGGAUAAUGGGUAGGCCGCAAUGAGCAUGGGUGGUAACACCCAUGCCAAGAGGAAUGACUGCAGCCCUUCCGCAAGACAAAAUUACAUUGUCUUGUAUAGGGUACAGAACUCGGCUUACAGACCUGCGUUUCAG
rnacentral:RNase_P_RNA from 1 species